CACUCCCUCCCACCAGCUCUGAGCCGGGAUCAGGGUCUGGGCUUCCUGCCCCCGGGCUGUGAGCGCUGUCCUGCCGCCCGAUGGGCAUGUUUAAGACCGUGGUCUCAGGUUCCGUUAGUCUCCCGGGGAUUCUGUUGGUGGAGGGAGGCAGCGGCCCCCGCUUUGCCGCGGUGACUUUGAAAGCCCUUGCUCUGCUGGUGCAGGACAGUGGUGGUGGCCCAGAGAGCAGCAGCCGCCCCUCCCCUCCGUGCGCUGUGUGGUCCCAGUCCCUCUCUGCCCCGCCCCACCGGCCAGUGUGGAGGGGCGCCCCUCCCCCCCCGGGCUUUUAAGAACGCCGUGCACACAUCCCAGAGAUGGACCUGAGUCCCCGCGCUCACUUGUACACGUGUCUGGUGAUUCCUAAGUGGGGAGCAAGGCUGCACGCGCUCCCGGAGCUCCCUGCACAUCUUCUCCCUGAUUCCACAGGGACGUCCUGGAGGAGCCGGCGGAGGAGGAGCUGAUGGAGAAGCUGAGCCAUCACCCGCACCUGCCUCUGUGCAGGUGACGCCCAGGUGACGCCCAGGUGCCCCGUCCCGUGUGGCCUCGGCACCCACGACCGUUGUGGGAGGAGGCGGCUGCAGCCCGGAAGGAGUGACGUCCCCCUGGACGGAUGGACAGACGGACAGACGGACCUACUGCAGCCGCCUGAGGCUGGGGCAGAGAGCGCGGGCCCUGGGUCGCCGCUGAGCCGAACCACUGACUACCACCAGCUUUUCUUUGCAGCGGGGGGCCCUGUGCUCUCCGUGGCAUCUGGGCCACACCACUCUCUCUCUAAGCUGCUUCGGGGAGGCCUCUGAACUGGAAGAGCGCGGCUCCACGGGGACCUGCAAGACCGCCGGAGAAGCAGGAAGCCGCGGCCUGCCUUUCGGGCCCUGUGAUUUCCAUGGUGCCUUCACUGCUGGCGGCCUUCAGGGGCCAGAGGCCCACCCGGGGCCUGCACAGGCCAAGCGGCAGCUUUCCAGGGCAUUAAGUGUGGGAUCCUGGUGAUUUUACAGGAGGAGGAUUUUAACUGUUCUAUUAUUUUAUGGCUUGUGUGCGUGUGAUUGCGUGUAUUUCUUUAUGGGUCAGAAUGGCAAUGAUUUUUAUCCUGAAGUCUUGCAAAGAAUGAGGUCGUCAUUCUUACUGAGACACAACUCCGGCUUCUCUGGAGCAGGGUGACCAGGUAAGGUUGUUCAGGUUGUGCACUGCAAACCUGGCUGCACGGGCAUGUCCAGCCACCAGGCCGUCGCCCCAAGGUGAGGGCUGUCUUUUUCUAAUUUGCAUAAAGGCCCGUAUGAGCCGGUGGUGGCUCUCCUUUAUGUGUUCACGGGAUGUGUGGCAGAGGAGUCUAGUAGGUCGGGGGGGAGGGAACGUGAGUAAUGUGUGCCGGCCACAUUGCCCCUUGAGCCACUGUGGGUCCAGAUUAACGUGGUUUUCUCAUUUCAAGGGCCAACUCGAGUGGUGGGUGGGAGCUCCUGGAGGUCUCUGUUGAGGACUGGAAUCCUCAUGGACAGCAAUGCUGGGAUUGAUUAGUGAUGUCUGCUGUGGGUACUGACUGGUGGGGGGUGGAGGGCAACGAGAGAAUAGGUGUGGACUCCACUGUGGGAAGUGAUGGCCUCCGUCUUCCCAGCUUGUCUGGGAGGUGGAAUUAGAGGAAAGAAACCCCAGUGCUCAGGGUUAUGUACCCACGUGCAUUGUAGUUUCUGAUCUUGGAGUUCGUCUGAGAUCCUGGGCCUUGACAUGCUGCCCUUCAGAUUUGGGGUAUCUUUGGUCAUAGUGAGGACACUCCCAGACCUGUCCCCUCUGCAGGCUGCCUCUGGGAAGGCUGGUUUUGGGCGGGAGCACCUCGUGGAGCAGUGGGUUAGAAGUUUGCACCCAGCUUGCCUUGGCAGAGCCCUGCUUGCCCUGUGGACAAAGGUGAGGCCACCCUGGUCAGCUGCUGGGUGCCCCGCUAUCCUGCUACCCCUUCAGCCCCUGCCCCCAAGGUCUGAGCGCCAUCUGAUGGCAGGAUCGGAUUCACGUUUAAUGCAAGCUGGACCCCAUGACCCUCAGGAGGCGCUCACUGCUUUUCCCAGGUCAGCUGGAGGUGGGGAGCCUGGCCUCACUGGGCCGCAGACUCGGCCACCUGCAGUGAGUCUCGUUCCCGUGGGCGCCGCCAGUAGGAUUUCACGUUCUCUGCCCUGCCUUAUGUACGUCCCUGAAGGUCUUCUGCCUUCCUGUUUCCUGGCUUGUGUGCAGAGAAGCCCCCUCUGAUGAUUACUGUCACAUGGCACAGAGUUCUGGAUGACCCACGUUGGACUCUGGGAGACCGUGCUGUUCAGAGGCUGGUUCUGCCCUCAGGGUGGGGUAACCAAAGCUGGGGUCAUCGAGCUGGUGUCUUCUGACCACAAGCUGAUGUCUCUUGGAUGCCCUGGGGGGCACUGACUGUCCCCUCUUUCAGUUUCAAAUAGUAUUGGCCUCCAAGCCUUUGUCUCCGUGAGAAACAGGCUGAAUUCACGGUUGAGUUGGGGCUCAGGUUUUGGUUAAGGGGAGCAGGGCUGCUGGGGGUCUUCUGGUCUGCAGUGCUCCUGGUGCCUCCCGUCCUGUUCCUCCCCAUCCCAGCCGGGUCCUGCCCUGGGUUAGACCCAUAUGACAAAGAACACGUGCUCACGUCUCAGAUAAACCCUUGCAGCUCUGGUGGGGCUCAUGUUUUCUGUGGCUGUGGGGGCUCUGGUCACCCCUCUGCACUCUGGCUGGGCAUGGGGUGCAGGGUCCUCAGCCCUGCUGGACCCUGGAGUCCCCCAGGGCUGUACAGGAGUCUGGGACACCUGGAGUGGUAUCACUGCCCCGGGGAGGUGGGAGGAGGCUACUUUGCUCAGGGGAGCCCUGUGGCUUGGGUCAGGCUCUGAGGAGGGGCCUGUGCAUCCACAGGCCGGGGAGCCCUGGCCUGGGUGUCAGCGAGAAGCUGAAUGGAGGCAGCUGGUCUGGAGGAAGGGGGCAGGCCCAGGGGGAGAAGGAAGUGGGGUGCCCACUGGGGAGGGGCUGAGGGUGGGGCAGGGUGGUGUGGGUGCCUGUGGGCUCUGAGCUGCACACGCCAAAUAGCAGGGCCUUGGCUCCUAGUCUUUGAUGGCCCUGGAGUGUGGGCGAGGCAGGGACCUGGGUGGGCACCCAAGCCCCAGCCUGCCUGGGAGGCCUGAGGCCUGCCCAGCUAACACUAGCAGCCUCCACGUUGGGGGGGUCUCACUUGCCCCCUGCCCAGCUCAGGGCCAUCAGCUGCCCCGGGCCUCUGAAGGUGAGCUCCUCCCAGGUCCUUUACUGACCAGGAGGGGUGGUGAAUGGGUGGGGGCCGCCUCCUCUCCCAUUGAGCUUCCCCGUGGAGCCCCCCGUCCCCACUGGGGAGCCCCUGGAAGGACACAGUUGCCAUUUCUGGGGCUGGGGGGCGGGGAGGGCAGGAGUUGGCUCGUGUUUAAUAACAGCACGGAAGCAGCUGCAGACUUUGGGAAAAGUUGCAAGAUUCUUCCGGAAUCAGUGGAGGGGAAGUUGUGGUUCCAGGGCUCUUCGCCCUCUGUGCUUUAGGGAGGGCCUGCAAUAGAGAGCACACUGGGAUGGGGUCACCACGGGUUCCUGCUAGCUGGCGCUCACCGCAUUCACGGUCAUUCUGAGCCUCCGGUUCGGUCCCUCGGGCCAUGUGACCUCGGCACUCUUGAAGGUCAGCCCGUGACUGUGUAGGAAGGUCCCUGGGUUGGGUUUAUGUGAGGUGUCCUCAUGAGCUUGAUUCUGCGGUUUUUGUAGGAAUAGCCCAGAAGUGCAUCCUGGUGGGUGGUGUGAAAUUUCGCUGGUGCCCACCCUGUCGCUUGGUCGGUGGCGGCUGCCGGGCUGCCCAGCGUAAAGUUGCUCCUUCUCCCUUUGUGAUGAAGGGGGUGCUUUGAAGCUAUGUGCGCACCCACCUCACCAAACUUCCUUCAGCUUCUUCUCCCUCUUGCGUUCGUCUGCGCACACCAUGCUUCCUUCCAUUCGGUGGGUCAUGUGUAGGCUGUUGCUGUAUUUUAUUUCAUGCUCCAAUUCUCCCUUGGCUAGUGGGAACAGCUUCAUCUAGCUUUUGUGUCCCUUUGCUAGGUACCUGCCAUCUUUUGAAUGCUUCUUUGCUUGCUGGUAUGCAGAUGUUCUGGACUCAUGUUGCACCUUCUCUGCCCCAGCCCUGGAAGGAGCCGUUGCUCCAAGGGCCCCUCCUCCUUUAAGCAAGAAUAGCAUCUAGGAACCAAGCUACCGGGCAGGUGGAUGGGGGCCCGCUAGCACUGGACUCGGUGGCGGAAGAGACCAUCCCGUAGCCGGAGGCAUGGGGCCAGCAGCUCUCAGAAUCCCCUGGAGGAGGCUUGUUCAAAUAGCGUGGGACACCGCCCAGGCGAUCUGAUUUGGGUGACCUGGGGUGGGGGGGCUAGGAACCUGCUGUUCUGGUACGUUCCUAGGGGAUGCUGCUGUGGGUCCAGAGACCAGGGCUGGAGAACAGAUGGCUUGGGCAGAGUUAGCUUUUCUCCCUCCUUGUUUGCUUGUUUCCCCCAUUGUUGCUGUUGGUGAAUUGUACAAUACUUCGCGGGGGCAAUUAUAGAAAGGACCCCUUUCUGAGUGGUCCCCUGUGUGCAGAGGAGUCAGGAAAGGUGCUGGCUUCUCUCCAGGCGGGCAGAGUCCAGGCAGCACGUUGUGCUCCUUGCCGUCCCACCCACUUUUCUGUUGCAUGGAUUCUGGGUCUGUGCGCAAACUGCGCAACUGGACAUGGAGAACCUGGCUGGACCCCAAGCCAGAUGAGAGCCCUGCCCAGGGUUGGGGGAGUGGGUGUGGCGGGCAGGGACACCAACAAGGGCCCUGGUCCUGCCUCCAUGGGGGUCCCACCACCCUCCCCUAGCGACAUGAUCCUACGCUCGCUCUCCUUGCUGUCCCCUUGCCUGGUGGGGCAGUGGAUGUUUUCAUUCCUUCCUCUGUCUGCCAGGCAUGGAUGUAAAGUGAGAUGAAAACAGAGAAGGCUGGGGCCAGGAGCAGGAGGGAGAGGCUGCACAUACGCCCGGGAAGGACCCAUUCCUGCUGCAGGCCAGUGCGGGGCUCCCCGGCAGCCUUUGGGACAAAGGGAACAGGAGCCUGUGCUGACAGGCGGCAAGGCGGAGUGUGCACCCAAAGCUGUCAUGAAGGCAGGUUCCCUCAGCCCCGAGGAGCCCCGUGCCAGGCUUGACAGAACCUUGGUUUUUAUCUGACAGGCGCUGACGUGCGUCUUGCUCAGCACACAGCACGCGGUCCGUUCCGGCUCCCUGGCUUUCACGGCUGUCCCAGUUCGGAACAUGGAAGCACAGUGUGCUCCGCUGCUCAGUCUGGAAGUCCUUACCCGUGUCCCACCACUCCCAUGCAGGGGAGGAAGGAAGAUGUGUGAGGGCAGCCCAAGGGCCUUCGGGUCGAGGUGGCGGGUGGUGUCCCCGGAUGGUGUGCAGAACUGAGCGGGGUGGGAAGAGGAGGGCGGUCUCAGCGAGGGAUGGCGCCCUGCGGGGUCCUGGUGGCACCUCGGGGUUGCAGUCACGCCCCCCCCGGGCCUCUUGCUUCCUGUCCGGCCCACCGGGGCCCGGCCCCCACAGCGGGACCCCGGGGAGAGGAGAUCUGGGGCAAAAGGCGCAGUUUCCCAGGAGGGGACCGUGUUCAGAGCAGACUCUGGGUUCUCUCUGGGUUUGUUGGCCGCUCGUCUGCUGGGCCCCCCCACUGGGCCAGCACCUCCGGUGACAGGGGCUGUGCCCGUCUGCGGGUAUGACCCUUGCUGCUGGAGACCCUUCGGACCGGUCUCCACACGGCUCCAUCACAGUGCCCCCUCGCCCCCGACGUGACCCGCCUCUGGUCCCGGGAAGCCUCCGGUGGUCCUUGCCCCAUGGCUGGAGGCUGGGGUUGCUGCCCUGCUGUGCUGGCCUCGGUCACUGUCCCCAGCAGCCCUCAACGUGACCCCGAGCCUGGCACGGCACGUCGUGUUGGCAGCUGGGGGGUGCGCCACGGUGGCGAAAGCCCUACCCCUUUCCCCUCUGGGCACUUUCCAUCUCCUGGGAGCGAAAGGGCUUCCGAGCGGGGGGCGGGUUUUUAUCCAUUUCCUUGGUCACUUCUGUUCACAUCGGAAGGGCUCUGUCUUGGGAUGUCACGCCUCUUGUGUCCAGCCGGAAGGUCACUGAUAGCAUCCCGCUGCCGUGUGUUUGCUCAAACCUGUUGAUCUUUCCUCUCGAUGGCGCCAACGUGGGUGGCUUGUCCCUUUGACUGGGUUGCGGUAUUUCAGACUCUCCUGCAAUGACUUCUACACUGAGAAAGGUGUUUAAGGGAAGGACAGGACGUCUACCAUGCACCCCCAUGCCCUGGCGGGAAGUGGACUGUGGAAAAAGUCGGCACGAGCUGCUUUAAAAUAACCCGGAAAGUUCUUGAUUGGACAGACGGUUGACAUUUGUCACCCUGUGGUGCCCUCGGGCAGCUGCCGAAUCCGUGACCCCUUCUUAGAGAAAGGUCUUCGAGCUGUAACCUAAAACAUGUGGAAAUACAAGGAGAAUAAUUGUAUUGAAAAACUGCUAACACAAUAUUAAUAAAUCCAAAUGUGGGACAGAGGAGAUC